rnacentral:rRNA from 1 species
GCGACCCCMGGUCAGGCGGGACUACCCGCUKAGUUUAAGCAUAU